rnacentral:rRNA from 1 species
CCUACGGGAGGCUGCAGUAGGGAAUUUUCGGCAAUGGGGGGAACCCUGACCGAGCAACGCCGCGUGAACGAAGAAGUUAUUCGUAAUGUAAAGUUCUUUUAACAGGGAAGAAAGAGAAAUUUGACGGUACCUGAAGAAUAAGCUCCGGCUAACUACGUGCCAGCAGCCGCGGUAAUACGUAGGGAGCGAGCGUUAUCCGGAAUUAUUGGGCGUAAGGGGUGCGUAGAUGGCAUAGUAAGUCUUUUGUAAAAAUCCUGGGCUCAACCCAGUAGGGCAAAAGAUACUGCAAAGCUAGAGUAUGACAGAGGCAAGUGGAACUACAUGUGUAGCGGUAAAAUGCGUAAAUAUAUGUAAGAACACCAGUGGCGAAGGCGGCUUGCUGGGUCGAUACUGACAUUGAGGCACGAAAGCGUGGGGAGCAAACAGGAUUAGAUACCCCUGUAGUC